UGGUGGAGUGAUUUGUCUGCUUAAUUGCGAUAACGAACGAGACCUUAACCUGCUAAAUAGACAGGCUUACUUUUGUAGGUCGCAGUCUUCUUAGAGGGACUAUCGGGUUCUAAACCGAUGGAAGUUUGAGGCAAUAACA
rnacentral:rRNA from 1 species